rnacentral:rRNA from 1 species
GAUGAACGCUGGCGGCGUGCCUAAUACAUGCAAGUCGAGCGAACAGACGAGGAGCUUGCUCCUCUGACGUUAGCGGCGGACGGGUGAGUAACACGUGGAUAACCUACCUAUAAGACUGGGAUAACUUCGGGAAACCGGAGCUAAUACCGGAUAAUAUAUUGAACCGCAUGGUUCAAUAGUGAAAGACGGUUUUGCUGUCACUUAUAGAUGGAUCCGCGCCGCAUUAGCUAGUUGGUAAGGUAACGGCUUACCAAGGCAACGAUGCGUAGCCGACCUGAGAGGGUGAUCGGCCACACUUGAGCUGAGACACGGUCCAGCCUCCUACGGGAGGCAGCAGUAGGGAAUCCUCCGCAAGGGGCGAAAGCCUGUCGGAGCAACGCCGCGUGAGUGAUGAAGGUCUUCGGAUCGUAAAACUCUGUUAUUAGGGAAGAACAAAUGUGUAAGUAACUAUGCACGUCUUGACGGUACCUAAGCAGAAAGCCACGGCUAACUACGU